GGGGGCGGUUCGCCGCUCUCGAUGUCGCGAGAAGUCCAUUGAACCUUAUCAUUUAGAGGAAGGAGAAGUCGUAACAAGGUUUCCGUAGGUGAACCUGCGGAAGGAUCAUUG
rnacentral:rRNA from 4 species